CGCUCUCCUUCAAAUUUUCUAUGCAAUAUUGAAGCGUCGUAGCGUCCAGGGUGACAAUUUUCGUCCAUCUUGCUCCUUUUCCAAUCAAUGGCCUCUUCUCGAUGAUGUAUCCUAUUUGGGACAGAAUGCAGAAACAAAAUUUAUACAGACCUUUUCUUCAGUUCUAUUUAAACGCAAUGGCUAUUGAUAUACCAUAGAGGUAAACAAAGGUGAGAAAGGUUAUUUACAAAGGCUCGUAGUUUCAUAGGCUCAUACUGUGAUACAGACAUAUGUUACGUAUAUGAUAAUACGGUAAAGAUCGAUUUUAAAUUUUAAGAGAAAAAUGUGUAGACGCAAGGGUUGAUGUAAGAAUCGACUUGGAAAAUGAUUUUCUAAUCGUUUAGAACGUCGUAUUUCUCGUAAGAAAUUAUUUGUAAGUAAGCGAGCUGUUCAACUACAGUGUAUACUUCCCAUAAAAUUCUGAAGAUCUGUAUCUGUAGUCUACAAUAUUUAUAUAAUUUAUUAUGUCCAGAUAUUCAAUUAUAUUAAUUUAUAUAUUUGAUUAAAUUAUAUUUGAUUAAUUAUCUAUAUUUGAUUAAAAAUUACCUGUGAGCUCUGAUCCUCCAUUGCUAGCUGGCGGAGACCAAGUAAGUGUGACGCUCUUACUGGUUACAUUCGUCACUUGUACGUGUUG